UACGUAGGUGGCAAGCGUUGUCCGGAUUUACUGGGCGUAAAGAGCGCGCAGGCGGUCGUUCAAGUCGCGUGUGAAAGCCCCCGGCUCAACUGGGGAGGGUCACGCGAUACUGAUCGACUGGAAGGCAGGAGAGGGUAGUGGAAUUCCCGGUGUAGUGGUGAAAUGCGUAGAUAUCGGGAGGAACACCAGUGGCGAAGGCGGCUCACUGGCCCGUAACUGACGCUGAGGUGCGAAACGUGGGGACAACAGGGAUAAGAACCUAG
rnacentral:rRNA from 1 species